AGAAUGUUGACCAGAAAGACUGUUCAUGGCUCAAAUCCACAGCUCUAGAUUCAGACCCUAGAUUUAAAUCCUGGCACAACCUCCUGGAUGUACAACCUUGGGCAAGACAUUUAACCUGUCCUAGCUCAUCAUCAAGAACAGGAAUAAAUACACCCACCAUACAGAUGUCAGGAGAAGAUUUAAGACAUAUAUAUUUUACGAUCCUGGUUACAAGGUUGAAACUACCCUCCUUAGCCUGGUAAGGCUGGUGCCUCCAACACUAGAAAAAGGGUGAGGGAAGGGAAAUCCGACCAUCCUCAGCAGGUGAACCCCAGUAGGACAGGUAUUUUAAAGGCACCUGGCUCCACAUACCCACAGCACACGGGCACUGCAUUCCCCGGGAGUGCUCUGUUACAGCCGAGCCUUGGGGUAAAAUGGCAAAGGGCUGUGCCAAGCACCGGCUCCCAGGUCCCCCGGCCGAUCCGAGUUCCCUUGGUCCUGGUGGAGGAGGAGCAGCUAACGUGGAUGAGGCCUCCAGAUGUGAGGCUGAAGAAAGAAGGGAGAAGAAAAUGAGACUUAUGGACUGAUGCCAGAGGGAGAUUGAGAAAGGAGAGCCAGGGCCUUCUCUGGGCUGGGUCUUCAGAUACAUUCCAUGUAUUGGGCUCCAAGGCUUGUCAAAAGCCUUCACCGAAACCCUCCUUCCUGUCUAUAGCACCGAAGAUUCUGAGUGAGGCUCAUUAAAACCUGGUCUCUGCUGGCACGUGGGCAGCAAGGGCGAGGAGCAGGGCUGGGGACCACCUCCCUUCCUGAGAGCCCGCCGCAGUGCCCGGAUGUAGGGAUGUAAGCAAAGCCGAAGAGGAGAGGGGUUACGGAAGCCAAAGCCGGAUUAGAUCUGGAGCAUGGGAAGAGAUUUCCCAGCAUGUUAGAGAGUAACCUUUGCAGCCUGGCUUUCCAACUCCCCCACAUUAGGAGUUUGGUUGCCAAAGCCCUGCUGCCUCCCUCACAUUAGACGACCUCUGCUGCAAGCCAGAAAGCAGCAAAGGCCUGGCUGUUAAAGGCACAGGCUGCCCGACCAGAGAGCAAGACCCCUUCCAAAGAGCAGAAGGGCACAGGCACCGGCCUCGGAAAUUGUGUUAUCAACACGAUGGACGCCCCAUCACGGCCCUGAAGGGGAAGGUGGGUGGAGUCCGAUGGAGGAUCCAGGGCACCAGCACUCUAAGUGUUAAGUACGCUAUCCGGAGUACCUGCUUUCUGCUGGAUUAACGGGGAAGAAAAUGAGCAGAGGGAAGGAGACAGCUCCCGAUGGUUUUUAAAGAAAAGUGCAUUUAAGCUUAAAGUCAGUGUAGCAGAACAGCUGGGCUGGAAAAUUGGCUGUUUAGCUCUGCGGUUGGUGUCAGGGACCCACUGGCUGAGAAACAGUGAGAUCAGCCUGCAUUUGUAAACUGCAGGUGCUGAGAACCAAGAUGAAGGGCCUCGAGGGAGCGGGGACUCCAGCGACAGCUCUUCCCCAUUCCUACACCUCAGGGCCUGAGCUGGCCAGGCUCUAGAGGGUUCCCAGCUCUGCCUUGGACUAAUCACAACCCCAGGACCCCAGGAUCUCAGAUCCAGAAGGGACCAAAGAUUGCACAGGAAUCCUUGCUUCAGCUCUGUGUGUCCCAGGCCCCUGGAAGGCCCACUCGUCCUCUGCCCAGCCUGCCCUGCUGUCUGCAGCUGGCGCGGGGAGGAAAGCUGCAUCUCUUCUGUCACCAGCACGGUGGACGUGCACUGUGGCACCUCAGAUAGGAAGGGCUUCUCAAAGAUGACCUGACUCACAAGUCAUAGACUAUCCAAAUUCACUUGCAGGAAUUUUUUUUCUUGGCCCACCUAAUGUCUUUUUUUUUUUUUUAAUGUUUAUUUAUUGAAAGAGAGAGAGACCGAGCCCCAAGCAGGCUCCCCA
rnacentral:lncRNA from 1 species